UACGUAGGGUCCAAGCGUUAUCCGGAUUUAUUGGGCGUAAAGCACAUGUAGGUGGUUUAAUAAGUCUUACCUUAAAGCUCCGGGCUUAACUCGGAAUCUGGGUGAGAGACUGUUAGGCUAGUGGUCAGCAGGGGCAAACGGAAUUCCCGGUGUAGGAGUGAAAUCCGUUGAUAUCGGGAGGAACACCAAUGGCGAAGGCAGUUUGCUAGGCUGAUUCAGACACUGAGAUGUGAAAGCGUGGGGAGCGAACGGG
rnacentral:rRNA from 1 species